UGAGGAAUAUUGGUCAAUGGGCGCAAGCCUGAACCAGCCAUGCCGCGUGAAGGAUGAAGGCGUUCUGCGUUGUAAACUUCUUUUACCAGGGAAGAAACCUUCUUUUUCUAAGGAAGCCGACGGUACCUGAGGAAUAAGCACCGGCUAACUCCGUGCCAGCAGCCGCGGUAAUACGGAGGGUGCAAGCGUUAUCCGGAUUUACUGGGUUUAAAGGGUGUGUAGGCGGACUAUUAAGUCAGCGGUGAAAUCUCCGGGCUCAACCCGGAAACUGCCAUUGAUACUAUUAGUCUUGAAUGUUGUUGAGGUGGGCGGAACGGGUCAUGUAGCGGUGAAAUGCAUAGAUAUGACCCGGAACACCGAUUGCGAAGGCAGCCCACUAAGCAAUGAUUGACGCUGAGGCACGAAAGCGUGGGGAUCAAACAGGAUUAGAUACCCCCGUAGUCC
rnacentral:rRNA from 1 species